rnacentral:rRNA from 1 species
GGAAAGUCGCACGGUACAGGGUGAUAGUCCCGUACACAAAAAUGCAUAUGUUGUGAGUUCGAUGAGUAGGGCGGGACACGUGACAUCCUGUCUGAAUAUGGGGGGACCAUCCUCCAAGGCUAAAUACUCCUGACUGACCGAUAGUGAACCAGUACCGUGAGGGAAAGGCGAAAAGAACCCCGGCGAGGGGAGUGAAAUAGAACCUGAAACCGUGUACGUACAAGCAGUGGGAGCACCUUCGUGGUGUGACUGCGUACCUUUUGUAUAAUGGGUCAGCGACUUAUAUUUUGUAGCAAGGUUAACCGAAUAGGGGAGCCGUAGGGAAACCGAGUCUUAACUGGGCGAAUAGUUGCAAGGUAUAGACCCGAAACCCGGUGAUCUAGCCAUGGGCAGGUUGAAGGUUGGGUAACACUAACUGGAGGACCGAACCGACUAAUGUUGAAAAAUUAGCGGAUGACUUGUGGCUGGGGGUGAAAGGCCAAUCAAACCGGGAGAUAGCUGGUUCUCCCCGAAAGCUAUUUAGGUAGCGCCUCGUGAACUCAUCUUCGGGGGUAGAGCACUGUUUCGGCUAGGGGGUCAUCCCGACUUACCAAACCGAUGCAAACUCCGAAUACCGAAGAAUGUUAUCACGGGAGACACACGGCGGGUGCUAACGUCCGUCGUGAAGAGGGAAACAACCCAGACCGCCAGCUAAGGUCCCAAAGUCAUGGUUAAGUGGGAAACGAUGUGGGAAGGCAUAGACAGCCAGGAUGUUGGCUUAGAAGCAGCCAUCAUUUAAAGAAAGCGUAAUAGCUCACUGGUCGAGUCGGCCUGCGCGGAAGAUGUAACGGGGCUAAACCAUGCACCGAAGCUGCGGCAGCGACACUUAGGUGUUGUUGGGUAGGGGAGCGUUCUGUAAGCCGUUGAAGGUGACCUGUGAGGGUUGCUGGAGGUAUCAGAAGUGCGAAUGCUGACAUAAGUAACGAUAAUGCGGGUGAAAAACCCGCACGCCGGAAGACCAAGGGUUCCUGUCCAACGUUAAUCGGGGCAGGGUGAGUCGACCCCUAAGGCGAGGCUGAAAAGCGUAGUCGAUGGGAAACAGGUUAAUAUUCCUGUACUUGGUGUUACUGCGAAGGGGGGACGGAGAAGGCUAGGCUAGCCGGGCGACGGUUGUCCCGGUUUAAGCAUGUAGGCGGAGUGACUUGGUAAAUCCGGUUGCUUAUCAACGCUGAGGUGUGAUGACGAGCCACUACGGUGGUGAAGUAGUUGAUGCCAAGCUUCCAGGAAAAGCCUCUAAGCAUCAGGUAACAUUAAAUCGUACCCCAAACCGACACAGGUGGUCAGGUAGAGAAUACUCAGGCGCUUGAGAGAACUCGGGUGAAGGAACUAGGCAAAAUGGUGCCGUAACUUCGGGAGAAGGCACGCUGGCAUUAGGUAAAGAGACUUGCUCUCGGCGCCGAAGCCAGUCGCAGAUACCAGCUGGCUGCAACUGUUUAAUAAAAACACAGCACUGUGCAAACACGAAAGUGGACGUAUACGGUGUGACGCCUGCCCGGUGCUGGAAGGUUAAUUGAUGGGGUCAGCCGCAAGGCGAAGCUCUUGAUCGAAGCCCCAGUAAACGGCGGCCGUAACUAUAACGGUCCUAAGGUAGCGAAAUUCCUUGUCGGGUAAGUUCCGACCUGCACGAAUGGCGUAAUGAUGGCCAGGCUGUCUCCACCCGAGACUCAGUGAAAUUGAACUCGCUGUGAAGAUGCAGUGUACCCGCGGCAAGACGGAAAGACCCCGUGAACCUUUACUAUAGCUUGACACUGAACAUUGAGCCUUGAUGUGUAGGAUAGGUGGGAGGCAUUGAAGUGUGGACGCCAGUCUGCAUGGAGCCAACCUUGAAAUACCACCCUUUAAUGUUUGAUGUUCUAACUCGGCCCCAUAAUCUGGGGUGAGGACAGUGUCUGGUGGGUAGUUUGACUGGGGCGGUCUCCUCCCAAAGAGUAACGGAGGAGCACGAAGGUUAGCUAAUCACGGUCGGACAUCGUGAGGUUAGUGCAAAGGCAUAAGCUAGCUUGACUGCGAGAGUGACGGCUCGAGCAGGUACGAAAGUAGGUCUUAGUGAUCCGGUGGUUCUGAAUGGAAGGGCCAUCGCUCAACGGAUAAAAGGUACUCCGGGGAUAACAGGCUGAUACCGCCCAAGAGUUCAUAUCGACGGCGGUGUUUGGCACCUCGAUGUCGGCUCAUCACAUCCUGGGGCUGAAGUAGGUCCCAAGGGUAUGGCUGUUCGCCAUUUAAAGUGGUACGCGAGCUGGGUUUAGAACGUCGUGAGACAGUUCGGUCCCUAUCUGCCGUGGGCGUUGGAAGAUUGAGAGGGGCUGCUCCUAGUACGAGAGGACCGGAGUGGACGAAUCACUGGUGUUCGGGUUGUCAUGCCAAUGGCAUUGCCCGGUAGCUAAAUUCGGAAGAGAUAACCGCUGAAAGCAUCUAAGCGGGAAACUUGCCUCGAGAUGAGUCUUCCCUGGGGCUUUAAGCCCCCUGAAGGAACGUUAAAGACUAUGACGUUGAUAGGCUGGGUGUGUAAGUGCAGCGAUGCAUUGAGCUAACCAGUACUAAUGAUCCGUGAGGCUUAACCUU